rnacentral:sRNA from 1 species
GGCAGAGGAGGGAGCUAGGAGGUGAGACCCGCUCCACCCUGCUCGCCUAGGCUCGGCGGAGGCUAAGAGCAGGGCAGCCUCCUCUGUCCGGCGCCCGCUGAGCCCCGGCAUCUGGAACUCAGGGCCCUGGCGCUCCAGGGGCGGGAACUGGCCGGGAGGACCGCGCGGGAGAGCACGGAUGGGCACCCUGGGCUCGAUCUUCUCACCUGGGGCGGGUGGGUUCUGCACCACCCUCCCACCCUCCUUCCUCCGUGUGGACGAUAGAGCCACAUCCAGCACCACGGACAGCUCCCGGGCGCACUGGAAGCUGAGGGUUCUGACAGCGGCAGGCCACAUAGGCAAGGAAGCUGGUGCAUGCAGUGUCUCUGGGCAAGGUUAUGCAAACCAAAAAGAAGAAUGUACUUCAUCUGGUUGGGCUGGAUUCCCUCUGAUAAGCCUUCCCAGUUGACUGAAAGAUGAGGCUAGGCUCUAGCAAGUUGAAGUCAAACCAGCUCCUUCAAGAAGCUUUGAGCAGAAUGAAGUGGGGAGGACCCAGCUUCCAGCCUAGGAAGCCCACUGUACCUGGAGCCAUCUGGGAUAAGACUUUGACCCAUGACUCCCAUAUCCACAACCUGUCCAUCCUAGCCCAUCCCAGUUUAUCCUGUAUCAUUUGAGCUGGGAUUCCCACAUCCUCUGAGAUGGAAGUCCCAUCUCAAAUCUUCAAUAAAGACUCUUGAAUAUUGAGUC